ACAGAUGACACACUAAGGCGCAAGGCAGCUGCACAUCCACGGCCAGCCUCGUUGUCUUCAGGGAUUUGUUCAAAGUUCAUUCUGAAUUGUAAGGUAACCACUGCAGAACACGAGCCUUUCCUGGGUAUGUGUGGUUAUUUCUGCCCUUCACGGUCCCACUCAAGUCCUGCCUCCCUCAGGGAGACCUCCCAGACCUCACCAAGCCGUGGGCACGUGGACCAGAAGCCGUGGACCCCAGAGGCUCAUUUAGGGAUCUGCUUUCUGAACCCAGGUCCUAACAUCUGCACUGCAGCGAGCAUUUCUGGUGCCUCAAGUGAGUCACUCCAACUUCCAGCUCACUGAGAGGCGAUGGAGCACUGAGUGCCAGCAUCUUCCAGCACCAGAGGAGCUGACUCUGAAUAGACAGCUCGGCAGCGGCCUCAGCACAGAGCAGGGGAGCCACCAGCCACAGGCAGCCACUGAGCCCUUGGCAUGUAACCCGGUAACCCAUGCAACAGAAGACCUGAGCGUCCAGUGUUGCUAGCUUGAAGUAACUUCAGUGGUGUUCCCCAGCGUUUUUCUCAUCCCCCUCCCUUCCCUUCCCCUACAGCUUUCUUCCUCUUUCCCCUCCUUCUGAGUCUUUCGUCCCCAGUCCUGGGAACCUUUUUUCUGACUUGGUGUUUUCUCCUGAAUGCCUCCUUCCUGGCCCCCUAAUCAGAAAUGCAGAAGCCACCUGCCCCACACAGGGGGCCACUUUCCCUGCAUCUGGCACUCACCAGGACAGUCAUAGAACUGGCCUUGGGUGCUUGGGGAGAGUGGAGAGGUCUGGGGGGCAUCCACUGGCCUCAGCCUCAGAGCUUCUCAUCAGUAACCCAGGAGGCAAAGGCCCAGCUCAAGAUUAGCCCAGGCCACUGUAUCUGUGCCAAGACCUACAGCUGUCCCUGCAGGGCGUGCAUCUCUGCAGCCCAGGCUAUCACAAUGGUGUCCCUUUUGGUGGGGAUGUGAGGCCUGCUGCUGCCUGGGAAGAAGCUGACAGGAUUGUUGGUGCUGUGGGGAGAAGCUGGUGUAACUGAGACCCAUGAGGGAGGCCCUUUGUGGGUCUGUGGCUGGGAGGAGCUCUGGGGAAGAUGGGCCUUGAGAAAUCCCAGCUUAGCACCUUUGACAGUUGCUCCACUGAGUCACCCUAGACUGCAAUCUCACAGAUGUUCUAACCACCCUCUCCCUGGGGAGCCCUUGGGGGUGCUGCAAGCCCAGUCCUCACUCACUGGCUUUGUGCUUCUCUUCCCGACUUCCUUUUUUUGCUCCUGUUGAGAAAUGUGGGUCCAGGGCUGCGUGCUCCAGUGUGCGGAAGGAAGGGCAGCGUGCUCUUUGGACUGAGCUGGCUCAAGGGAAGCUGGGUCUGAGGGGAGACUGACCUCGACCCUUCUUAAAUGAAACACCUUUUCCCUGCGUCUCAGUCACCGUUACCUGGCCUGAUCACUGUGUGCCACACCCCAUCACAUCCAUCCCCACAAGAAUGCCAGGAGGAGGGGUCAUUGGCCUUUUUGUCAGCACAAACCUCUGGAGGCCCAGCUCCCAAGACCCGCCAGGCACACCUGCCAGAGUGCCUUAACUUGGGAUGUCUGCAAACCUCUGUCCAUGGCCGAACCCACCCCACUGCCUGUUACUGUAAAUAAAGGUCUAUUAGCAUGCCACCAUGCCCCUCCUCCGAUGCAUACAGUGCCCAGCUCAGCACCUGGUGCAAGUAAGCACAAUCUGGCUUCCAGCCAUCACUGCUGUUGCUACUAACACAAAUAUUAGGCCCCUUCUAGAAUGCAAAGAUAACCCAGGGCUGCUCGUUCUGUGUCCAGAUCACAGAGUUUUUCUUUUUAUCCUUAUCAACUUUAUUGAGGGAUAAUUUACAGGCAAUAAAUCAUAUCCAUUUAAA
ensembl:lncRNA LINC00656 long intergenic non-protein coding RNA 656